GAGUUUGAUCCUGGCUCAGGACGAACGCUGGCGGCGUGCCUAACACAUGCAAGUCGAACGGAGAACUCAAAAAGCUUGCUUUGAGAGUUCUUAGUGGCGGACGGGUGAGUAACGCGUGGGCAACCUCCCCCUUAAACCGGGACAACCCUUGGAAACGAGGGCUAAUACCGGAUACACUUUUCUGAGGACAUCCUCGGGAAAGGAAAGGCGGCCUCUGAAGAUGCUGCCGAUAAGGGAUGGACCCGCGUCUGAUUAGCUGGUUGGUGGGGUAAAGGCCUACCAAGGCGACGAUCAGUAGCCGGCCUGAGAGGGUGAACGGCCACACUGGGACUGAGACACGGCCCAGACUCCUACGGGAGGCAGCAGUGGGGAAUCUUCCGCAAUGGACGAAAGUCUGACGGAGCAACGCCGCGUGUAUGACGAAGGCCUUCGGGUUGUAAAGUACUGUCUUUAGGGACGAACGGUAUCUAUGUGAACAAUGUAGGUACAUGACGGUACCUAAGGAGGAAGCCCCGGCUAACUACGUGCCAGCAGCCGCGGUAAUACGUAGGGGGCGAGCGUUGUCCGGAAUCAUUGGGCGUAAAGGGCGCGUAGGCGGAUUUUUAAGUCUGGUGUGAAAACUUGGGGCUCAACCCCAAGCCUGCAUCGGAAACUGGGAAUCUUGAGGACAGGGGAGGAAAGUGGAAUUCCACGUGUAGCGGUGAAAUGCGUAGAGAU
rnacentral:rRNA from 1 species